rnacentral:siRNA from 1 species
AGAACUGUGUUGCGUGUGUUUUGC